ensembl:snoRNA
AUCCUAGUGUAGCUCCUGCGUGUCAGGACAGGGCGUUGGUGCUUGUCUGAGACAUGCCAGCCCAGAACCUCGUUACAACAUCAGCACAUCACCCGCCGGCCU